UUAAAGUUUUAAUUUAGCUUAAAAAAUUAAUAAAAUGUUUUUUUACAUGUAAAUUUUUGUGUUGAUUUAUAUAAUUUUAAAUAAUUUAUAUAUUUAUAUUUUUCGCAGUGAUUAUUUUUAUAUAUUAAGGAAACUUUGAUUUAGAAAUAUAUUAUAGUAUUGACAAAAUUUGUGCCAGCAGUUGCGGUUAUACAAAUAAUACAAUUAAUUUAUAUUAGUAAAAUAGUUAAUUAUAAUUAUUAAAAUUAUAAAUUUAUAUUUAUUAAGUGGAAUUUUAAAUAUAAUUAAAUUUUUAAAAAAUCUUAUGAAACUAUUAAAUUUUUAUUUAAACUAGGAUUAGAUACCCUAUUAUUUAAAAUGUAAAUAAAAAUUCUAAAUUAGUAUUAGUUAUAUUCUUUAAAGUUAAAGAUUUUGGCGGUAUUUUAGUCUUUUCAGAGGAACUUGUUCUAUAAUCGAUAGUCCACGAUUAAUUUUACUUAUUUUAAUAAAUUUGUAUAUCGUCGUAGUUUGAAUAUUUUAUAAGAAUUUAAAUGUUCUUAAUUUUUUAUUAAAAAAGAAAUCAGAUCAAGGUGCAGUAGAUAGAUAAGUAGUAAUGAGUUACAAUAAUAUUAUUUAUAUGGUAUAAAAUCUGAAAAGGUUUUAUUAAAGUGGAUUUGAAAGUAAUAUAUUUUAUUUUAAAUAUGUGAUUUAAGCUCUAAAAUAUGCACAUAUCGCCCGUCGCUCUCGUUUAAAAUGAGAUAAGUCGUAACAAAGUAGAUGUACUGGAAAGUGUAUCUAGAAUUAA
rnacentral:ncRNA from 1 species